rnacentral:rRNA from 1 species
GAUGAACGCUGGCGGCGUGCCUAAUACAUGCAAGUCGAGCGAACGGACGAGAAGCUUGCUUCUCUGAUGUUAGCGGCGGACGGGUGAGUAACACGUGGAUAACCUACCUAUAAGACUGGGAUAACUUCGGGAAACCGGAGCUAAUACCGGAUAAUAUUUUGAACCGCAUGGUUCAAAAGUGAAAGACGGUCUUGCUGUCACUUAUAGAUGGAUCCGCGCUGCAUUAGCUAGUUGGUAAAGUAACGGCUUACCAAGGCAACGAUGCAUAGCCGACCUGAGAGGGUGAUCGGCCACACUGGAACUGAGACACGGUCCAGACUCCUACGGGAGGCAGCAGUAGGGAAUCUUCCGCAAUGGGCGAAAGCCUGACGGAGCAACGCCGCGUGAGUGAUGAAGGUCUUCGGAUCGUAAAACUCUGUUAUUAGGGAAGAACAUAUGUGUAAGUAACUGUGCACAUCUUGACGGUACCUAAUCAGAAGGCCACGGCUAACUACGUG